rnacentral:pre_miRNA from 1 species
AUUAUACUCCCUCCAUCCGAAAAUACUUGUCAUCAAAAUGGACAAAAAGGGAUGUAUCUAAAACUAAAAUACAUCUAGAUACAUCCCUUUUAUCCAUUUUGGUGACAAGUAUUUCCGGACGGAGGGAUUAUAUA